GGGGGAUGUACGAUGAAGCCAAUACGGAUGUAAAUGAGCUACGGCUCGCAUGUCCGAGAGCGCAUAAACCUCGUGUGGAUUUUUCCGUUGCCUUCCUUCUGACCUCAUUCCCU
rnacentral:snoRNA from 1 species